GCAGCAGCCACGGUAAUACGUAGGUGGCAAGCGUUGUCCGGAAUUAUUGGGCGUAAAGGGCUCGCAGGCGGUUUCUUAAGUCUGAUGUGAAAGCCCCCGGCUCAACCGGGGAGGGUCAUUGGAAACUGGGAAAUUUGAGUGCAGAAGAGGAGAGUGGAAUUCCACGUGUAGCGGUGAAAUGCGUAGAGAUGUGGAGGAACACCAGUGGCGAAGGCGACUCUCUGGUCUGUAACUGACGCUGAGGAGCGAAAGCGUGGGGAGCGAACAGGAUUAGAUACCCCGGUAGUCCCUGUCUCUUAUAC
rnacentral:rRNA from 1 species